rnacentral:rRNA from 1 species
AUUGAACGCUGGCGGCAGGCCUAACACAUGCAAGUCGAACGAGUGGCGGACGGGUGAGUAAUGUCUGGUAAACUGCCUGAUGGAGGGGGAUAACUACUGGAAACGGUAGCUAAUACCGCAUACCAUCGGAUGUGCCCAGAUGGGAUUAGCUAGUAGGUGGGGUAAAGGCUCACAUAGGCGACGAUCCCUAGCUGGUCUGAGAGGAUGACCAGCAAACGUGGAACUGGGAAACGGUCCAGACUCCUACGGGAGGCAGCAGUGGGGAAUAGUCCACAAUGGGCGCAAGCCUGAUGCAGCCAUGCCGCGUGUAUGAAGCAGGCCUUCGGGUUGUAAAGUACGUUCAGCGGGGAGGCGUUACCCGCAGAAGAAGCACCGGCUAACUCCGUGCCAGCAGCCGCGGUAAUUC